GCUCUUCCUGUUUACCGGCAUUCAACAGAGGUCUGUGGUUAAAACACAGCCGUUUGGGCAUUUUAACACCGCUUGUGUCAUUUUGUGGGGCUUUGCGUACACUGGAGAGUCUAUUGUAAACAACCGUUACGUGCGGUCUGGCUCGUUACACUGCCUAGUCCCAGCAUUCCCGUGUGUUUACCGUUUGAGUGGGGACAUCCAAUAUAUGCUGUUUGGCAUCUACUUCAUUUCUAUCCCGUGGAUACUGACGUCAGCUCUGCUUUCUGGUGUGGCAAACGGCUGCGUUAUUUGGAGCUGUGUGUCCGACGGCAGUGAGGCUUUCCUUCACCGUGUGCUGUGUUAUGCUGUGUGAGCACCACUGAUAAAAUCACGGGUAUUGGAGUGAGUGUGUGUGUGUGCACUUAGUGUGAUUCUCCUCUUUUGCUCCCUCUCUUAGCCCAUUUGAUGCCAAUAGGCUACAGCUCCGAAGUAAAUGUGAAUCCUUAUUGUGGAUUGUGAUUUCCAGCUUAGUAAUUGGCUGGGUGACUAUUAUUCCUGCAUUUUAAACUUUUGUACUAAUAAACAAACUCUAUUUUGCUACCCACGUCUCUUGCUCAUUUUAUUCAGUGGAAUGAACCUGGGUUCCUUAUAACAUUUUAAGUGAACUGUGAUUCCCUGGUAUAGUCCCAGGGUGGCGUAGUCUAUUGUAUAUCUCUUGAGUGUUGAAUAUUGCUGCAAAAAGACCACUUUGCCACAUUUUGGCGUAGUCGGCAGGGUCCACUAAAUUGAACAGAGACGUGGGUGAAGAUUUCUUUGCCAGCUGGUAUUGCCAUUAUUUGCUUUUCUUUUUAUUUCACAGGAACAAGACAGCAGCGUAGACUCUUUGAAGGGUCUCUUUGGCUACCUCCCCUGAUUGUGUUUCAGGUCCAAAUUUUCUUUCUGCCCCGCCUUGCUUGGUGGAGCUGUGUGUCCGACGGCAGUGAGGCUUUCCUUCACCGUGUGCUGUGUUAUGCUGUGUGAGCACCACUGAUAAAAU
ensembl:lncRNA